rnacentral:rRNA from 1 species
AGGACGAACGCUGGCGGUGUGCUUAACACAUGCAAGUGGUGCGACGAACCAGAGCUUGCUCUGGGGCAAAGCCGCGAACGGGUGAGUAACACGUGGGUAAUCUACCCCGAUGACCGGGACAACCCGAGGAAACUCGGGCUAAUACCGGAUGUGGUACGGAGACAUAAGUCUCUUUACUAAAGGUAGCUUCGGCUUCCGCAUUGGGAGGGGUCCGCGGCCCAUUAGCUAGUUGGUGGGGUCAAGGCCUACCAAGGCAACGAUGGGUAGCUGGUCUGAGAGGACGAUCAGCCACACUGGGACUGAGACACGGCCCAGACUCCUACGGGAGGCAGCAGUGGGGAAUCUUGCGCAAUGCGCGAAAGCGUGACGCAGCAACACCGCGUGAGGGAAGACGGCCUUAGGGUUGUAAACCUCUUUCAGAUGGGACGAAGGUGAUGCGGUGAAUAGCCGAUGUCAUUGACGGUACCGUCAGAAGAAGCUCCGGCUAACUACGUG